rnacentral:misc_RNA from 1 species
AACGCACGAGACCUGCGGACCUGCGGAAGGAUCAUUAACAAGUCCGUGUGACGCGUGUCCGCUGCGUGCCGUGACGUCAAGUUGCGUGUGCGCAGCAGCAAUUUGUAGUCCUGACUGAUAGUCGCUUGAAACGGAGAAACAACUUUCAACAAUGGAUCUCU